CCUACGAGCGGCAGCAGUGAGGAAUAUUGGUCAAUGGACGCAAGUCUGAACCAGCCAUGCCGCGUGCAGGAAGACGGCUCUAUGAGUUGUAAACUGCUUUUGUACGGGGGUAAACGCAGAUACGCGUAUCUGUCUGAAAGUAUCGUACGAAUAAGGAUCUGCUAACUCCGUGCCAGCAGCCGCGGUAAUACGGAGGAUUCAAGCGUUAUCCGGAUUUAUUGGGUUUAAAGGGUGCGUAGGCGGUCGGAUAAGUUAGAAGUGAAAUCCCGAGGCUCAACUUCGGAAUUGCCUCUGAUACUUGUCGGCUAGAGAGUAGUUGCGGUAGGCGGAAUGUAUGGUGUAGCGGUGAAAUGCUUAGAGAUCAUACAGAACACCGAUUGCGAAGGCAGCUUACCAAGCUACUUCUGACGUUGAGGCACGAAAGCGUGGGGAGCAAACAGGAUUAGAUACCCGUGUAGUC
rnacentral:rRNA from 1 species